ACAGAGUUUUGCUCUUGUUGCCCAGGCUGAAGUGGAAUGGCGCGAUCUUGGCUACCACAACCUCCGCCUCCCGGGUUUAAGCGAUUCUCCUGCCUCAGCCUCCUGAGUAGCUGGGAUUACAGGCACGCGCCACCACGUCCAGAGACUGAGUCUUGCUGUUGUCGGCCUGGACUGGAGUGCAAUGGUGCAAUCUCGGCUCACUGAAACCUCUGCCUCCCGGGUUCCAGCAGUUCUCCUGCCUCAGCCUCCUCAGUAGCUGAAAUUACAGGUGCCCACCACCAUGCCCGCCUAAUUUUUGUAUUUUUAGUAGAGAUGGAGUUUCAUUGUGUUGGCCAGGUUGGUCUCUAACUCCUGACCUCAGGUGAUCUACCCACCUCAGCCUCCCAAAGUGCUGGGAUUAUGGGCGUGAGCCACCAUGCUCGGCCUAUUUAUUUUUUAUUUUUAUUUAUUUAUUUUUAUAAUUUACUUUAUUUAUUUAUUUAUUUAUUUAUUUAUUUAUUUAUUUUUCUGAGAGGGAAUCUCCCUCUGUAGCCCAGGCUGGAGUGCAGUGAUGUGAUCUUGGCUCACUGCAACCUCCGCCUCCUGGGUCCCGGUUCAAGCAAUUCUCCUGCCUCAGCCUCCUGAGUAGCUGGGAUUACAGCCACACACCACCAUGCCCAGCUAAUUUUUGUAUUUUUAGUUGAGGCAGGUUUUCACUAUGUUGGCCAGGCUGGUCUUGAACUCCUGACCUCGUGAUCCGCUCACCUCGGCCUCCCAAAGUGCUGAGAUUACAGGCGUGAACAACUGCGCCCAGCCUAUUCAUUAUUAUUAUUAUUAUUUUUUUUUUUUUUUUGAGAUGGAGUUUUGCUCUUGUUGCCCAGGCUGGAGUGCAAUGGCAUGAUCUCGGCUCACAGCAACCUCCGCCUCCUGGGUUCAAGCGAUUCUCCUGCCUCAGCCUCCCAAGCAGCUGGGAUUACAGGCAUCCACCACCAUGCCCAGCUAAUUUUGUAUUUUUAGUAGAGACAGGGUUUCACCAUGUUGGCCAAGAUGAUCUCAAUCUCUUGACCUCAUGAUCCGCCCGCCUCAGCUUCCCAAAGUGCUGGGAUUACAGGCGUGAGCCACAGCACCCGGCCUCUAUUAUUAUUAUUAUUAUUAUUUUGAGAUGGAGUCUCACUCUGUCGCCUAGGCUAGAGUGCAGUGGCGAAAUCUUGGCUCACUACAACCUCCACCUCCUGGGUUCAAGUGAUUUUCCUGGCUUAUCCUCCU
rnacentral:lncRNA from 1 species